rnacentral:rRNA from 1 species
AUUGAACGCUGGCGGCAUGCUUUACACAUGCAAGUCGAACGGCAGCGCGGGCUUCGGCCUGGCGGCGAGUGGCGAACGGGUGAGUAAUACAUCGGAACGUGCCCAGCAGUGGGGGAUAGCUCGGCGAAAGCCGGAUUAAUACCGCAUACGACCUGAGGGUGAAAGCGGGGGAUCUUCGGACCUCGCGCUAUUGGAGCGGCCGAUGGCAGAUUAGCUAGUUGGUGGGGUAAGGGCCUACCAAGGCGACGAUCUGUAGCUGGUCUGAGAGGACGACCAGCCACACUGGGACUGAGACACGGCCCAGACUCCUACGGGAGGCAGCAGUGGGGAAUUUUGGACAAUGGGCGAAAGCCUGAUCCAGCAAUGCCGCGUGUGUGAUGAAGGCCUUCGGGUUGUAAAGCACUUUUGGCGGGAACGAAAAGGACUGUGCCAAUACCACGGUUCGAUGACGGUACCCGCAGAAUAAGCACCGGCUAACUACGUG